rnacentral:lncRNA from 1 species
GGCACUAGCAGAUAGGUUCACACAAACGCUAUGAUUCUUAACAUAUAUGAAUUUGGAGGGAAAUAGUCCAAAAUCAGGACAGGCCACAACAUCGAUCUCUGCAGUUCUAUCCUGAGAAACCCGAUUACAGGUGUCACACAAAAUCUUGCAACUCCUGGUGCUUCAAGUCAGAGGUACCACUUUUGAUUUUUGCCUACCUCUCCUCUGCUAAGGCCCUUCCCUGGAAUGCGCCCUCUUGGCGUCAACCUGUAACCGAUAAGACAUGAUCUCAGCACUUAAUGUUUCUAAUCCAAAAACCUACUCC